rnacentral:rRNA from 1 species
GAUGAACGCUGACAGAAUGCUUAACACAUGCAAGUCUACUUGAACUUCGGUUUGGGUGGCGGACGGGUGAGUAACGCGUAAAGAACUUGCCUCACAGUUAGGGACAACAUUUGGAAACGAAUGCUAAUACCUGAUAUUAUGAUUUUAGGGCAUCCUAGGAUUAUGAAAGCUAUAUGUGCUGUGAGAGAGCUUUGCGUCCCAUUAGCUAGUUGGAGAGGUAACGGCUCACCAAGGCGAUGAUGGGUAGCCGGCCUGAGAGGGUGAACGGCCACAAGGGGACUGAGACACGGCCCUUACUCCUACGGGAGGCAGCAGUGGGGAAUAUUGGACAAUGGACCAAAAGUCUGAUCCAGCAAUUCUGUGUGCACGAUGACGUUUUUCGGAAUGAAAAGUGCUUUCAGUUGGGAAGAAAAAAAUGACGGUACCAACAGAAGAAGUGACGGCUAAAUACGUG